AUAGAAAAUAAGACACAUACUGCCAUAUUGUCAGGUAGUGAUAGGAUUUAUCACUACCCGACAAUACAAUAUGUGUUUGUUUUAUUUUAUGU
rnacentral:miRNA from 1 species